CCUGGGCUCAGGAUGAACGCUAGCGGCAGGCUUAAUACAUGCAAGUCGUGGGGCAGCAUGAGUAGCAAUACUUGAUGGCGACCGGCAAACGGGUGAGGAACACGUACACAACCUUCCUCAAGCGGGGAAUAGCCCAGAGAAAUUUGGAUUAAUACCCCAUAAUAUAUUUGAUAAGGCAUCUUAUUAAUAUUAAAGCUUCGGCACUUGAUGAUGGGUGUGCGGCUGAUUAGAUAGUUGGCGGGGUAACGGCCCACCAAGUCUACGAUCAGUAGCUGAUGUGAGAGCAUGAUCAGCCACACGGGCACUGAGACACGGGCCCGACUCCUACGGGAGGCAGCAGUAAGGAAUAUUGGACAAUGGACGAAAGUCUGAUCCAGCCAUGCCGCGUGAAGGAUUAAGGUCCUCUGGAUUGUAAACUUCUUUUAUAUGGGACGAAAAAAGGGCAUUCUUGUUCACUUGACGGUACCAUAUGAAUAAGCACCGGCUAACUCCGUG
rnacentral:rRNA from 1 species